rnacentral:tRNA from 1 species
GGUUCUUUAUUUGGUAUUAAAUUUGAAAUUUAAGAGUAGGGAUAGAUUCCCUAAGAAUCU